UACGGAAGGCAGCAGUGGGGAAUAUUGCACAAUGGGCGCAAGCCUGAUGCAGCCAUGCCGCGUGUAUGAAAAAGGCCUUCGGGUUGUAAAGUACUUUCAGUCGUGAGGAAGGUGUUAAGGUUAAUAACCUUAGCAAUUGACGUUAGCGACAGAAGAAGCACCGGCUAACUCCGUGCCAGCAGCCGCGGUAAUACGGAGGGUGCGAGCGUUAAUCGGAAUUACUGGGCGUAAAGGGCACGCAGGCGGUUAAUUAAGUUGGAUGUGAAAUCCCCGGGCUUAACCUGGGAAUGGCAUUCAAGACUGGUUUAGCUAGAGUCUUGUAGAGGGGGUAGAAUUCCAGUGUGUAGCGGUGAAAUGCGUAGAGAUGUGGAGGAAUACCGGUGGCGAAGGCGGCCCCUGGACAAAGACUGACGCUCAUGUGCGAAAGCGUGGGGAGCGAAAACAGGGAUUAGAUACC
rnacentral:rRNA from 1 species